GACGAACGCUGGCGGCGUGCUUAACACAUGCCAGUCGAACGGAAAGGCCCUGCUUGCGGGGUACUCGAGUGGCGAACGGGUGAGUAACACGUGGGUGAUCUGCCCUGCACUUCGGGAUAAGCUUGGGAAACUGGGUCUAAUACCGGAUAGGAGCCAUCUUUAGUGUGGUGGUUGGAAAGUUUUUUCGGUGUAGGAUGAGCUCGCGGCCUAUCAGCUUGUUGGUGGGGUAAUGGCCUACCAAGGCGGCGACGGGUAGCCGGCCUGAGAGGGUGUACGGCCACAUUGGGACUGAGAUACGGCCCAGACUCCUACGGGAGGCAGCAGUGGGGAAUAUUGCACAAUGGGCGCAAGCCUGAUGCAGCGACGCCGCGUGGGGGAUGAAGGCCUUCGGGUUGUAAACUCCUUUCGCUAGGGACGAAGCUUUUUUGUGACGGUACCUAGAUAAGAAGCACCGGCUAACUACGUG
rnacentral:rRNA from 1 species